CGACCGGCGCACGGGUGAGUAACGCGUAUCCAACCUGCCCACCACUUGGGGAUAACCUUGCGAAAGUAAGACUAAUACCCAAUGAUAUCUCUAGAAGACAUCUGAAAGAGAUUAAAGAUUUAUCGGUGAUGGAUGGGGAUGCGUCUGAUUAGCUUGUUGGCGGGGUAACGGUCCACCAAGGCAACGAUCAGUAGGGGUUCUGAGAGGAAGGUCCCCCACAUUGGAACUGAGACACGGUCCAA
rnacentral:rRNA from 1 species